rnacentral:rRNA from 1 species
CCUACGGGAGGCAGCAGUGAGGAAUAUUGGUCAAUGGACGAGAGUCUGAACCAGCCAAGUAGCGUGAAGGAUGACUGCCCUAUGAGUUGUAAACUUCUUUUAUAAAGGAAUAAAACGAGGCACGUGUGCCUUUUGCAUGUACUUUAUUAAUAACGAUCGGCUAACUCCGUGCCAGCAGCCGCGGUAAUACGGAGGAUCCGAGCGUUAUCCGGAUUUAUUGGGUUUAAGGGGAGCGUAGAUGGGUUGUUAAGUCAGUUGUGAAAGUUUGCGGCUCAACCGUAAGAUUGCAAUUGAUACUGGCAGUCUUGAGUACAGUAGAGGUAGGCGGAAUUCGGGGUGUAGCGGUGAAAUGCUUAGAUAUCCCGAAGAACACCGAUUGCGAAGGCAGCUUACUAAGCUUUGACUGACAUUGAUGCUCGAAAGUGUGGGUAGCAAACAGGAUUAGAUACCCCAGUAGUC